rfam:Arabidopsis thaliana DNA chromosome 3, BAC clone F1I16
AGAGAAAGGAUCCAAAGGGAUCGCAUUGAUCCUAAUUAAGCUGAUUUAUUCCCCAAUAAUUGUUUUUUUUUUCCUUCUCAAUCGAAAGAUGGAAGAAAAACAAAUUCCAAACAUUUUGCUUACUUUUCCGGAUCAUGCGAUCUCUUUGGAUUCAUUCUUU